UGUUAUAAGCAGGGGCAUAUGUAGCUGGCUCUUCACCCUUCGCUUCUUCCCUUCCCACUUUUGCAGUUACGUGCUAUCUGAAGAGGCAGCAGUCAUCCUGAAAUUUUGAGGUAGCAAGGACAAUAACAAAAAACGAUUUACUAAGGGAGGCCAAGUGCAAUGGUGACAGCCUGGGCCCCAGAUGCCGCAGAUGAAUGGCUGAGCCAAUGCCAACAGAAGCCCGCCUCUAAACUGAAGGCAGAUAGGGCAACUGCCAUCAAAGAGGGACCGUGGCAACCAAGUGACCUCCAGAGCUGACUGCUCCUCGGAAGACCUGGCCUCACUUUCGCUCCCUACACAGUUACUUCUGUUGGAACAUUUGUUGAUGCCACCUCAUGAGGACAGUCAAGCAGACCUGCUAAGAGGUGCAUACAGCAAGGAACUGAGGUUUCUUGCCAUCACAUCAUGUGAGUGAGCCAUCUUGGAAGUGAAUCCUACAGCCCCAGUUGAGCCUUCAGAUGACAGCAGUCCUGGCUGACAUUUUGAGUGAAACCUUGUGAGAGACCAGAACCAUCCAGACAAGCCACUCCAGGCUUUCUGGCUCAUAGAAACCUUGAAAUAAUAAGUGUAUGUUGUUUUAGGCCCCUGCAUUAUGAGCAUAAUUUGUUAUGAAAUACUUGAUAAAUAACACA